rnacentral:rRNA from 1 species
AGAUUGAACGCUGGCGGCAGGCCUAACACAUGCAAGUCGAGCGGCAGCACGGGUACUUGUACCUGGUGGCGAGCGGCGGACGGGUGAGUAAUGCCUAGGAAUCUGCCUGGUAGUGGGGGAUAACGCUCGGAAACGGACGCUAAUACCGCAUACGUCCUACGGGAGAAAGCAGGGGACCUUCGGGCCUUGCGCUAUCAGAUGAGCCUAGGUCGAUUAGCUAGUUGGUGAGGUAAUGGCUCACCAAGGCGACGAUCCGUAACUGGUCUGAGAGGAUGAUCAGUCACACUGGAACUGAGACACGGUCCAGACUCCUACGGGAGGCAGCAGUGGGGAAUAUUGGACAAGUGGGCGAAAGCCUGAUCCAGCCAUGCCGCGUGUGUGAAGAAGGUCUUCGGAUUGAAAGCUACUUUAAGUUGGAGGAAGGCUAAGUUACCUAAUACGUAUCUGUUUUGACGUUACCGACAGAACUAAGCGACCGUACUACUCUG